UUUUGUUGUCCUGACAUCUUCAGGUUCCUCUUGGCUGUGAAAUUCCUCGGACCUUCCUUGUUUUGGAUGACUUGGACAGUUUGGAGGAGCGCUGGACAGAUUCACUGAAUCAGGUGCUCUGGUCAGGAAUCCACUUGGGGAAAAAAAAAAAAAAGACUGCAAUUGAUUCUGAGGCUCAGACAAGUUUGAGGGCCACCAGGAAAGGAUACUGAAUGGUCCACCUGCCCAGAGGGGAUGUGUACAAGCCAGGGUGGAUGCCAAGGCAGACGGAUGAAAGCAGAGGCAAGAGGAUGGAUGGAGACGCAUGGGGACCGAGAACAGGGCUGACCUCCAGACUUCAAAGCAAAAGAAGCGAAGCGGGGAUCACCCUGCGCUCAGCUGCCAGUGACAGAAGAUCCAGCUCAAAGUGGCUGCAGAAACAGGAAACCUCACGGCGCACAGACUGCAGAUCAGGAGUGGGCGGCUUGAGGCGCGGAUCCGGCAGUACCUCGGGGACCUGGGCCCUUCCUGCUUUUCCUCCCUGCCCCCUGCAAAGUCAGCUUCAUCCAACACCCGCAUCCCCUCUGCUCUUAGGUGGCUGGUAGAGGCCACCUGGUUGUCUGCAUCCUCUAGGAACUUUGUCGGAUCCUCCAGCCACCUUCUCCAUGACUCUCACGGGCCCAAAGUGGGUUGCCCACUGGUCCUAAACUCAUCCCAGGCCAGGCCACCAGCAUUAC